GGCAAAUCCCAGAAAUAACGUCCCAGUUCGGAUUGCAGUCUGCAACUCGACUGCAUGAAGCUGGAAUCGCUAGUAAUCGCGAAUCAGCAUGUCGCGGUGAAUACGUUCCCGGGUCUUGUACACACCGCCCGUCACACCAUGGGAGUCGGAAAUGCCCGAAGCCAGUGACCCAACCUUUAAGGAGGGAGCUGUCGAAGGCAGGUCUGGUAACUGGGGUGAAGUCGUAACAAGGUAGC
rnacentral:rRNA from 1 species